rnacentral:rRNA from 1 species
ACUCCUACGGGAGGCAGCAGUGGGGAAUAUUGCACAAUGGGCGAAAGCCUNAUNCAGCCAUUCCGCGUGUGUGAAGAAGGCCUUCGGGUUGUAAAGCACUUUCAGUAGGGAGGAAAGGGUAUUNCUUAAUACACAAUAUUUGUCACGUUACNUACAGAANAAGNACCGGCUAACUCC